AUUGAACGCUGGCGGCUUGCUUUACACAUGCAAGUCGAACGGCAGCGCGGGCUUCGGCCUGGCGGCGAGUGGCGAACGGGUGAGUAAUACAUCGGAACGUGCCCAGUAGUGGGGGAUAGCUCGGCGAAAGCCGGAUUAAUACCGCAUACGACCUGAGGGUGAAAGCGGGGGAUCUUCGGACCUCGCGCUAUUGGAGCGGCCGAUGGCAGAUUAGCUAGUUGGUGGGGUAAAGGCCUACCAAGGCGACGAUCUGUAGCUGGUCUGAGAGGACGACCAGCCACACUGGGACUGAGACACGGCCCAGACUCCUACGGGAGGCAGCAGUGGGGAAUGUUGGACAAUGGGCGAAAGCCUGAUCCAGCAAUGCCGCGUGUGUGAUGAAGGCCUUCGGGUUGUAAAGCACUUUUGGCGGGAACGAAAAGGACUGUGCCAAUACCACGGUUCGAUGACGGUACCCGCAGAAUAAGCACCGGCUAACUACGUG
rnacentral:rRNA from 1 species